UACGGAGGAUGCAAGCGUUAUCCGGAUUCAUUGGGUUUAAAGGGUGCGUAGGCGGACUAUUAAGUCAGUGGUGAAAGCCUGCAGCUUAACUGCAGAACUGCCAUUGAUACUGAUAGUCUUGAGUUCGGUUAAGGUAGGCGGAAUGUGUAAUGUAGCGGUGAAAUGCUUAGAUAUUACACAGAACACCAAUUGCGUAGGCAGCUUACUGAGCCGACACUGACGCUGAGGCACGAAAGCGUGGGGAUCGAACA
rnacentral:rRNA from 1 species